AUGACCUCCCCUUUCCAAGACUGAUUUUCAUUAGCCUUUCUCUCUCUUCUUGCAAAUCCUCUCUAAGAUCGAUUGUUUUCUUCGUCAACAUCUUCGAUUCCUCUCAUUUCUUCACCUUUGCGAUUUCCCCUCUUUCAAUUCACCAUAUCAACACUGUGUAGAUCAAUGUUGAACAGAACAGACAGCAGCACCAACUGAACAGAAAAACAAAGCUGAACACUCCGGAGCAGUGCAAACAACCUAACCAUCCACCUCUGCAGGCCAAGCUUUGCAAGCAGAGGCAAUUGCGUGUCUUAAAGGCCUGAAAUGGGCUCUAACAGAAACAUAGCUUCACUUAGGGUUCUCUCGGACUCGUACCUGCUGGUGGAGAUGCUAAGGGAUGCAGGGCUAGUUGAUAUCAGGCUACGUUGGACGAUCUAGGAGAUUCACUCAAUUGGGCAAGGUUUAGGAUACUACAGCAUUACCAAAGUUGAAAGGGCUCCAGUGCAGCGGGCUCACUCUCUCACUACUACAACUUCUUCUCUCUUGUUUCUUUUUCUAAUCCUUUGUAGUUUCUUGUUCUUUAAGCUAAAAAAACUCCAUUUUGUUUAUAAUUUGUUUAAGAGUCUUUUAUUUA